rnacentral:rRNA from 1 species
CGUAUAUUAAAGUUGUUGCAGUUAAAAAGCCCGUAGUUGGAUUUGUGGAUGAUGUUGAGGUCCAAAUUUUUUGGUACUAUUGAUAUUGUCCAUCCUUGGGUGGAAUCUGUGUGGCAUUAGGUUGUCGUGCAGGGGAUGCCCAUCGUUUACUGUGAAAAAAUUAGAGUGUUCAAAGCAGGCUUAUGCCGCUGAAUAUAUUAGCAUGGAAUAAUGAGAUAGGACUUGGGUGCUAUUUUGUUGGUUUGCGUACCUUGGUAAUGAUUAAUAGGGACAGUUGGGGG